AUCGAACGCUGGCGGCAUGCCUAACACAUGCAAGUCGAGCGAGCGGCGGACGGGUGAGUAAUGUAUGGGGACUGCCCGAUAGAGGGGGCUAACUACUGGAAACGGUGGCUAAUACCGCAUACUAUCCGUUAGCCCACAUGGGUUUAGAUAGUAGUUGGGGUAAAGGCACACCUAGGCGACGAUGUCUAGCUGGUCUGAGAGGAUGAUCAGCAACACUGGGACGUAGACACGGACCAGACGCCUACGGAGGCAGCAGUGGGGAAUAUUGCGCAAUGGGCGCAAGCCUGAAGCAGCCAUGCCGCGUGUGUGAAGAAGGCCUUAGGGUUGUAAAGUACUUUCAUCAGGGAGGCGUUACCCGCCGAAGAAGCACCGGCUAACUCCGUGCCAGCAGCCGCGGUAAUUC
rnacentral:rRNA from 1 species